rnacentral:rRNA from 1 species
GACGAACGCUGGCGGCGUGCUUAACACAUGCAAGUCGAACGGAAAGGCCCUGCUUUUGUGGGGUGCUCGAGUGGCGAACGGGUGAGUAGCACGUGAGUAACCUGCCCUUGACUUUGGGAUAACUUCAGGAAACUGGGGCUAAUACCGGAUAGGAGCUCCUGCUGCAUGGUGGGGGUUGGAAAGUUUCGGCGGUUGGGGAUGGACUCGCGGCUUAUCAGCUUGUUGGUGGGGUAGUGGCUUACCAAGGCUUUGACGGGUAGCCGGCCUGAGAGGGUGACCGGCCACAUGGGGACUGAGAGACGGACCAGACUCCUACGGGAGGCAGCAGGGGGGAAUAUUGCACAAUGGGCGGAAGCCUGAUGCAGCAACGCCGCGUGCGGGAUGACGGCCUUCGGGUUGUAAACAGCUUUCGCCUGUGACGAAGCGUGAGUGACGGUAAUGGGUAAAGAAGCACCGGCUAACUACGUG